AGGCCGGUUACUCAGUCAGUUGAAUGUAGCGCUAACAACGCUAAGGUCACGGGUUCAAUUCCCAUUCAGUCUC
rnacentral:tRNA from 1 species